rnacentral:rRNA from 1 species
GGGGCUAAUACCGCAUACGGUCUACGGACCAAAGCCUUCGGGCGCUUUCGGAGGGGCCUGCGGCGGAUUAGCUAGUUGGUGGGGUAACGGCCUACCAAGGCGACGAUCCGUAGCUGGUCUGAGAGGAUGAUCAGCCACACUGGGACUGAGACACGGCCCAGACUCCUACGGGAGGCAGCAGCGAGGAAUUUUCCGCAAUGGGCGAAAGCCUGACGGAGCAACGCCGCGUGGGGGAAGAAGGCCUUCGGGUUGUAAACCCCUGUUGCGAGGGAAGAAGAUCUGACAGUACCUCGCGAGGAAGCCACGGCUAACUACGUGCCAGCAGCCGCGGUAAUACGUAGGUGGCAAGCGUUGUCCGGAUUUACUGGGCGUAAAGCGCGCGCAGGCGGGCUGGUCAGUCUGGGGUGAAAUCUCACGGCUCAACCGUGAGAGGUCCCUGGAUACUGCCAGCCUUGAGGGGCUCAGAGGAGAGUGGAAUUCCGGGUGUAGUGGUGGAAUGCGUAGAUAUCCGGAGGAACACCAGUGGCGAAAGCGGCUCUCUGGGGGCAACCUGACGCUGAGGCGCGAAAGCGUGGGGAGCGAACCGGAUUAGAUACCCGGGUAGUCCACGCCGUAAACGAUGAGUACUAGUUGUCGGGGGUAUCGACCCCCUCGGUAACGAAGCUAACGCGAUAAGUACUCCGCCUGGGGACUACGACCGCAAGGUUAAAACUUAAAGGAAUUGACGG